AACCUUAUGGACCUGCGGGCGUAUACCUGCGGAAGGAUCAUUACAGAGUUCAUGCCCUCACGGGUAGAUCUCCCACCCUUGCGUAUUUAUACCUUUGUUGCUUUGGCAGGCCGCCUGGGCUCGCGCCUGGCCACCGGCUCCCGGGCUGGUGCGUGCCUGCCAGAGGAUCUCCAAACUCUAGUUAUCAGUGUUGUCUGAGUACUAUACAAUAGUUAAAACUUUCAACAACGGAUCUCAGAU
rnacentral:misc_RNA from 1 species